rnacentral:lncRNA from 1 species
UUUCAAUCACCAAGAACUGAUCUAGAUUUGAUUUAAUUCAACCCUAACACAUUUCUAAAGAAGGUAGAAAUACUAACCUUGAUCCAUGCUUGGAUGCAAUCCCACCAAUUGAUCUUCUCCUCUUUAACCUUCUCUUUGAUGAUUUCCUUGAUGGACAGGAAAUCCCAAACCUUCCUUAAUCUCCUCUUUUAGAUAUUAGUGUAGUGUUGUAAAGAGACUUCACGUCAUAUUGAUAAAAGGAGUACGAGUCCUUUUAUAAUAAUCUAAGAGACGUGUUGGUUUAUAUCCAUCAAACGGAUGUUUGUAACACAACUCUUCUUUAUAACCGAACUACAACAUAUACUCACAUAUAUAUUACAUUAUGGUAAUAUAUUCUAUUAUUACUACCUUGUAUAUAUAUGUGUAUAAUCAUGGAUUAAGGAUAUUUAUAAGCCAAGGUAAAGUAGGAGGGUUAACAAUACACCCAUAUUCUAACUCAUUACUCGAAACCGAUCCAUCACGAUAUCAACUCUUAUAUUAGAAUAUAAAACAUUAAUAUGAACUUGAACUUUAUAUUAAACCAAUAGAUACAUAGGUCACACAGAAUAUAAAAUAUUCUUACAUUCUCCCACUUGACCUUUGUAUCGACUUAAGGGUUCAAUAACUUUAAUGUGCACUUUUCUAUCGAGUUCACUUGAUCUUUAUUAAAAUUUGGAUUGAUCGAAUCAUGGCGGUUGUAUGCCAUUAAACGACAUAGUCCCUUCCAUGUAUCACAAAUCAAUUCUAAUUUUAUAUCAAACCUUACAUGAGAAAAACUUUUAUUUCUCAAACCAACCAUAUGUUAUCUACAAACCAUAAGUGUAUACACAUACUUUAAUGAUAACAUAAUAAAUAAAUUAGAAACAUAACUUUAUGUGAAUUCUCAGUGUCAAAUACAUAAUGAGCAUCCCAUAACUAAAAUAGCAAAGCCUUAUCUAUAAUACCCAUACGUUCUACAUGGCCAUUGAACGCCUUGGGUGGUAAACCUUUAGUUAGCGGAUCCGCUACCAUCAUGUCCGUCCUUAUGUGCUCGAAUGACACUCUCUGUUUCUGAACUUCUUCUUUAACAGACAGGUACUUUAACUCCAUGUGCUUAGCACCCUUCGAGUACUUGUCGUUCUUCGAAAAGAAGACAACUGCAGAAUUAUCGCAGUAAAUUCUCAGCGGCUUGGCUAUAGUGUCGACAAUCCGAAGCCCUGAGAUAAAGUUCCGCAGCCAUAGUGCAUGAAUUGUGGCCUCAAAGCAUGCCACAAAUUCAGCCUCCAUAGUGGAAGUAGCAAUGACAGACUGCUUUCCACUCUUCCAUGAUAUUGCUCCCCCAGCUAAUAGGAACAAGUAGCCAAACGUCGAUUUUCUGCUAUCAACGCAUCCGGCAUAGUCUGAAUCUGAAUAUCCAAUGACUUCCAGCUGAUCAGAUCUCCUAUAUGUAAGCAUGUUCUCUUUGGUGCCUUGCAAGUACCUGAGAACCUUCUUUGCAGCUUUCCAAUGGUCCAUUCCGGGAUUACUUUGAUAUCGACCCAACAUUCCAACAGCAAAGUUGAUAUCAGGUCGAGUACAUGUUUGAACAUAGUUCAAACUCCCAACCACCGAUGCAUAGGGAAUUCUUUCCAUUUCUUUACGCUCUAAUUCAUUUUUAGGACAUUGCAUUUUACUGAACUUGUCCCCCUUCUGAAUUGGAGUUAUUCCUGCAGAGCAUUUCUCCAUUUUAUAUCUCUUUAAGAUCUUAUUAAUAUAUCCUUCCUGAGACAAACUUAGCAGUCCUUGUGAUCUAUCUCGAAAUAUUUCUAUCCCGAUCACAUAAGAUGCCUCACCCAUAUCUUUCAUUUCAAAGUUCUUAGAGAGAUACUUCUUCACAUCAUGUAACAUACCCAUGUCAUUUGCAGCAAGCAAAAUAUCAUCAACAUAUAGGACUAAAAUCACAAACUUACUCCCACUGAUCUUAAUGUAGAUACAUCGAUCAACAAUGAUCUCUACAAAACCAUAUGAUGUGAUGGUAUCAUUAAACUUUAUAUACCAUUGUCGAGAAGCUUGUUUUAGUCCAUAUAUUGACUUUCUCAGCUUACACACCAAAUUUUCUUUUCCUGUGACCACGAAUCCUUCUGGUUGGUCCAUAUAUACUUCCUCCUCAAGAUCUCCAUUCAGAAAGGCGGUUUUCACAUCCAUCUGGUGAAGCUCAAGAUCAUAAUGAGCCACCAAAGCCAAAACAAUUCUAAGAGAAUCCUUCUUUGAAACCGGAGAGAAGGUCUCUUUAUAGUCAAUGCCAUCUUUCUGGGUGAAACCUUUAGCAACAAGGCGAGACUUGCGUCUUUCAGGUUUACCUUUCGAGUCACGUUUAGUCUUGUAGACCCAUUUACAACCAAUGGUUUUGAAACCAUCGGGCAACUCUACUAAGUCCCAUACAUGAUUAUCAUCCAUAGAUUUCAUUUCUUCUUCUGAGGCAUCAAACCACUCUUUAGAAUUGUCACUUUCCAUGGCCAUUUUGAAUGAGAUCGGAUCAUCAUCCAUGCUUAAGUCACAUUCAUUUUCAAUAGUGUAAACCACGUAAUCGUUUGAAAUGGCAGAUCUUCUUUCUCUUCCAGAUCGCCUUAAAGGUAUUUGUGGUUCACUAUUCUCUUCUUGAAUUAUGACAUGUUCAUCAACAGUAUUUUCAGCUAGUGGGAUUAGCUCAUCAUUAUGUUGUCCUAUUGUGUCAUUAGAGUCUGAUGCAACAAUAGGAACAACUACUUCAGGUGGAACUACAGGUGAAGGAACUUCAACCUGAAUUUCAUUAAUGUCCACUUUUCGUGGUUCACCACUCCCACUAGUUUCACCGUUUUCAAUGAACCUAGCAUUACCCGAAUCAACUAUUCUCGUACUAUGGUUAGGACAAUAAAAUGUAUACCCUUUUGAUUUUUCAGGAUAGCCAAUGAAAAAUCCACUGACAGUCCUAGAAUCAAGUUUCUUUUCAUGUGGAUUAUAUAACCUUACUUCUGCUGGACAACCCCACACACGUAAAUGUCUUAAACUAGGUUUCCUUCCCGUCCACAGCUCAUAAGGAGUCUUAGGAACUGCCUUACUAGGAACCCGGUUCAGCACAUACGUUGCAGUUUUUAAUGCAUAUAUCCACAAAGAAAGGGGUAAUGAGCAAUUACUCAACAUGCUCCUAACCAUCUCUAUUAAGGUACGGUUCCGCCUCUCAGCUACACCAUUCUGCUGAGGAGUACCAGGCAUUGUGUAUUGUGCACAUAUGCCCCUACUUUCAAGUAACUUUGCAAAUGGACCAGGACAUUGUCCACUUUCAUCGAAUUUUCCAUAAAAUUCACCACCUCUAUCAGAUCUCACUACUUUCACCUUUUUAUCUAACUGCCUUUCCACCUCGUCAAUGAAUACCUCUAGGACAUUCACAGACUUAGACUUUUCAUGCAGUAGAUAGGUAUAUCCAUACCGUGAGUAAUCAUCAAUAAAUGUGAUGAAAUAUUUUUCGCCACUCCAUGAAGGAGCAUCAAAAGGGCCACAUAUAUCGGUGUGUAUUAACUCAAGAAGCUGAGUGCUUCUUGUGGCUGGUUUCUUUAAAGUAUGUUUCGUCUGCUUUCCCUUAAUGCAGUCUAUGCAUACAUCUAAGUCACUGAAAUCCAAUUGAGGAAGAAUUUCAUUUUUUAUUAACCUUUUAAUUCUUUCUUUGGAAAUAUGACCUAGUCGUUGAUGCCACAAGAAAGCAGAACUUUCAUUAAUAGCGCUACGCUUAAUGCCUCGACUUUCAACAUUAAAUAGGGAUUCAGAAAACUUUGCAUCAAGGUUGAAUUUAUAAAGUGAAUCAAAUAAAAUACCACUACCAUAAAAGUAAUCAUUUCGGUACAAUGUGAAAACACCAUGUGCAACCUUAAUACUAAAUCCUAAAUUGUCCAACCUACUAACAGAAACAAGAUUUCUAGCACACUCAGGUACAUAGAGACACCCUUCAAGAUCCACAUGACUUCCAGUGUCCAAGAUCAAUCUAUACGUCCCAAUUCCUUCUAUUUGUGCCUUCAUCCUGUUUCCCAUGAACAAGUACUGUUCAGGUCCUCUUAUGGGCUGGAUCGAACUGAAUCCCUGUUUAAUAUGAGACACAUGAGUAGUAGCACCAGAAUCUAACCACCAAGUAUUAUUAGGAACUUCAACAAGAUUCAUUUCAUAGCAAACAAAGCUGUAAUGUUUACCUUUCUUGUCGAACCAAUCCUUCCUUUUAGGACAAUCCUUCUUGAAGUGUCCUACUUGCUUACAAAAGAAACACUUCUUUUCCUUCUGGAUUUGACUUUGAGGUCCUUUCACGAAGUUCUUUACAUUCCUUUUGUCCUUCUUACUUGAUGUUCUUUUGCUGCUACUGGCACUUCCAAGACCUACGAGGUUAGCAACUUGAUCUUUCAUCUUCCUUAGUCUCCCCUCCUCUUGAAUUAGCAUAGCCUUUAAUUCCUUAAAGUUCCAUUUAUCCUUAAUGGUGUUGUAAUUCACCUGGAACUGGCUAAAUUCAAGAGGUAGAGAGUUCAUGAUGAAUUGGACCAGGAAUUGCUCAUGUACCUCCAUUCCCAAGGUCGUUAACUUUGCUGCCAGAUUAGACAUGUGCGUCAAAUGAUCAUGGAUUGGCUGAGACCAGUCAAACUUCUUUGUAGUUAGCUCAUUCAUGAGACUUCCUACAAUCGACUUGUCAGCCAAUUCCGAUUGUGAACACUCCUUAAUUUUCUCUAUGAAUUCCCUUGCUUUCUCUGUCUUAGGCAUCGAUGGCUUAAUACUUUCUGCCAUCGUCAACCUCAUAAGGUUCAAGCUCAGCCUGUUAGAUCGCUCCCAUCUCUCAUAACGAGACUUUUCAGAUUCAGAGCUAUCUACUGUAAUAGCUGAGGGUUCCUCAUCAGUUAGUAUGGCGGAGUCCAAAGCCAUUACACCCAGUGUAAACCGGAUUUGCUCGAACCACUCACCAUAGUUGAGGCCAUUAAACUUUACCACAGAGUUAGCAGAUGCAAACACAUUUGAUGAAGCUGCAAGCAUUCAUACAUGUUUACCCGUUAGUGCUUUGAGACUUUAAUAUAUAUUCAGACUAAUAGAAACUUUAACACUUAUAUUUUAAAUAACCUUUGGGCAAUAUUUAAAUAUAAGUACUUUCACUGAUGCUAAUUAUAUAUACUUUAAUAUUAAUCAAAUCAACAUUAGUCAAAUAAAUAUGUUAUCUUUGGAUAUACAUAUUAUUCACUAUAGUAGAAAAAUGAUUAAUUCUUUUCUUAUUAUUAAUUAUAUUUAAUGAUCCACCUUUGGGUGAUCUCCUAAAAUAUAAAUAAUAAUUUAAUUGAUCAAUCAAACUUUUAUGUCAUUUAGCAUCCUUGAUCAAGAUCAAUUAUAAAUUCUAUAAAUUUUAAUAUUUGUAAGUAAAUAACAAGAUCACUUUGGUGACUAACAUGUUAUAAACUAUACAGACAUUAAAAUAUUAAUAGGUAAGUUUAUCCUAAUAUUAUGUUAUAUAUAUAUAUAUAUAUAUUUUUUUUUUUUAAUAUUUCAUAACACAAGUUACCUAUUAAUAAAAUGCAGCGGAAGCAUUUAACCGUAAAAAAAUAUGCAUGCACACGUUUGUUCCAUGACACAACUUCUCAUUGCUGACUUUUCAUACAUGUGUGUAGUAACCGUUAACACGUCCAGAAUUUUAACCAACUGAAUCAAUUAUUUUACUUAUAAUUCUGAAUUCAUUCACAUUCAUGAAUCCACACAAGCAGCAAUUUAUGUCGCCGUAACUAAUUAAGUAAGAUAAUUAAUUCUAACCAAUCCUUUUGGAACAGCAUUACACAAAAAAUUCUGUAAUCAUGCAUGUGCCUACGUUUUGUUACUUGAAACCCAGAUUUCAGGUUGAAACUUUUAAAUAAAUAGAUUAUACUCUUAUACGACAUGCUACGUUCAUUUAUGCGCACCUUUGCAUUAAUUAAGAAAAACUUUUAUCACACAUGUUUAUCUUCUUCGUUGUUGUUUUACUUUAUGUUAAUGGUGUACACCAAGUCACUAAUAACUUUUAAAGACAACAACGCUUUUCGUGAUGGCAUAAUUUCCGUAGAUAUUAAACACACUACCGUAUAGUUACGAUGCCGUUUUUAUGAGAUUACGAAUCCGUACGUUCCCGAUCAUGAACACUCUUUAAAACAGUUAAGCCGUAUAUGUUCAUAAUUUUUUCAAACGCCUAAUGGGUGAAUUAAUUAAAUCUAGAAUGGCUCUGAUACCACAUGUUAAUUUAUUUCAAUCACCAAGAACUGAUCUAGAUUUGAUUUAAUUCAACCCUAACACAUUUCUAAAGAAGGUAGAAAUACUAACCUUGAUCCAUGCUUGGAUGCAAUCCCACCAAUUGAUCUUCUCCUCUUUAACCUUCUCUUUGAUGAUUUCCUUGAUGGACAGGAAAUCCCAAACCUUCCUUAAUCUCCUCUUUUAGAUAUUAGUGUAGUGUUGUAAAGAGACUUCACGUCAUAUUGAUAAAAGGAGUACGAGUCCUUUUAUAAUAAUCUAAGAGACGUGUUGGUUUAUAUCCAUCAAACGGAUGUUUGUAACACAACUCUUCUUUAUAACCGAACUACAACAUAUACUCACAUAUAUAUUACAUUAUGGUAAUAUAUUCUAUUAUUACUACCUUGUAUAUAUAUGUGUAUAAUCAUGGAUUAAGGAUAUUUAUAAGCCAAGGUAAAGUAGGAGGGUUAACAAUACACCCAUAUUCUAACUCAUUACUCGAAACCGAUCCAUCACGAUAUCAACUCUUAUAUUAGAAUAUAAAACAUUAAUAUGAACUUGAACUUUAUAUUAAACCAAUAGAUACAUAGGUCACACAGAAUAUAAAAUAUUCU